UACGGGGGGGGCAAGCGUUGUUCGGAAUUACUGGGCGUAAAGGGCUCGUAGGCGGCCAACUAAGUCGGACGUGAAAUCCCCCAGGCUCAACCUGGGAACUGCGUCUGAUACUGGAUGGCUUGAAUUCGGGAGAGGGAUGCAGAAUUCCAGGUGUAGCGGUGAAAUGCGUAGAUAUCUGGAGGAAUACCGGUGGCGAAGGCGGCAUCCUGGACCGACAUUGACGCUGAGGAGCGAAAGCUAGGGGAGCAAACGGG
rnacentral:rRNA from 1 species